CCCUUAGAUGUUCUGGGCUGCACGCGCGCUACACUGAUGCAUCCAACAAGUUUUUUCCUUGUUCGAGAGGACUAGGUAAUCUUUUGAGAAUGCAUCGUGAUGGGGAUAGAUUAUUGCAAUUAUUAAUCUUCAACGAGGAAUUCCUAGUAAGCGCGAGUCAUCAGCUCGUGCUGAUUACGUCCCUGCCCUUUGUACACACCGCCCGUCACUACUACUGAUUGGAUGUUUAAGCGAGGUUCUCGAACUGCUAGCGACUUAGCUUCGGUGAGGUCGCAGUGUGGGAAGUGAACCUAGCUUUGGUGUCUAGAGGAAGUAAAAGUCGUAACA
rnacentral:rRNA from 1 species